UGGCUGAACACGAAGAAUACCCGGUUCAACCAGACUAGGGGGGAGUAGCUGAUGAGGACUGAAAUAUGCACCAGCGUUGUGCUAAACAAGGCUAUAGGAAUUACUACAACAGCGCAGCUCGACUCUCGGUUCGACGAAGGAGCGAAGCUCGUGUAAUAGGGGCUUGGGCCCAAUUAUUUAGGGCUAGUGGGUUAAUGGGCCAAAUAGGCUCAAGG
rnacentral:lncRNA from 1 species